rnacentral:rRNA from 1 species
GGAUUGGCUCUGAGGAGUGGGUGCAAGGGUCCUUGUCUUAAGGUUUGAGCUGCUCGGAAGCUGCUUGCUCUCGGUGUCGAGUGGAUUCACUUUGGUGACAAUUGAUGGACAGGGAAUGCUUCUCGAAGCUUUCCUUGUGCGAUGACCCACCAACUCAGAACU